CGAAUGCUCUCCUAGAUUAAUGGUCACGGCUGAGGUUGAAGAGAGUAAAAAACGUGAGCAAGCUGAAGGAAUAGAAUCCAAGGGAGCCAAGUGAAAGUUGUCUUCCUCUGCCAGAAAAAGGGAAAGCCCGUUCCUCCUGGCAAGGAAGGAGCGCCAUUAAUAGCAAUCCGAAUAAUAGAUCGCCAGCGUAUAACGGAAGGUCUGUAUGCAUUACGAGAAGUGCUCUGCGUACAUGUGUCUCCAUGUGUGUGACUUUACGUGCCUGUGAAGCGUCAUACUUCACGAGCUGCGAGACAGCAAAUUAUUAUCUUGGGGGAGUGGUGGUCAAGUGAUCAGAGCUACUGAAGAGGAAGGGAGCGAGAGAAGGGUCUGAAGUGUAAAACUGAGAGAUCGAUUUCAGGAAGGCUCAAUCAGCGCAAGCCCCGGGUUAGUUAUCUGGCAAUGGUAUUUGGGGAGACGGGAUGACAGUAGAUAGGUUGAAGCCUCAUGGAAUUAAGGCUCCUUCUCACCGGUUCCCGCUUAGAGCAAUUGUAGGAGGAUUUAGUUUCCUCCAGCAGCAUUAAGGUGGCUUUGCCGGUGUCAGCAGACCAUGGUGGAAAGUACUGGGAGGGAGUCGGGAAGGGAGCUGGGACGAGGAACGUGACUCUGCUUUCACUGAACUGGAAGAAGUGGCUAUAAAACCUCCUGCCCUCAAAUUCCCAGGACAAGGAAAGCCUUUUUCGGUAAUGCUUUCCACAUCUGCUGACUGCGUGGGAGCAGCACCGCUAGAAAACGGCAGUAAAGGAAAGCGGGUGCCGGUCGCCUCACCUUUACGUCCCCUUUGGGGGUGGAACAAAAAGUCUCUGGCUGUGAGAAAGACUGUUCAGCAGCGAUGUGGGCUGUAACCGUCUUUGAGACUUUUAGCUUUGAUCGCGCAGGGGCCAUCCAAUCUAUUCAGUUCCCUCUAAAGUAAUCACGUCAGGGAAAUGAAGAGACAGCGGAGUAUCAUCUAUCCGAGUGGCGCAGUGGGCGCUGAUCUUAACGAGCGGGGGCAGGGGGGCAGUUGCUGUGCAAGUGUUACAAGCAGUGGCUCUUCUUGUGCGCGUCUGAAUUGACUGAGGGGCAGAGCACGGUUGCGCCAAAAACGCGGACGCAGGAGGUUUCCGAGAGGUUGAUCUCUAGCGGCUACUUAGUCUGACUUCCCUUUCGCGGCAAGCCCGACUGUCUUCAUAGCUCCCAGAACAGGGGUUGGGGAAGCGGUGCUUGUGGCUUGCGUAUUCUCGUUUACCUUGCUUGAGUGUGUAUAUUGGAUCCGCUUUUGUGCUUAUAAACAACUUUGGAUUCUUAUGAUUUUCUGCAGAGCUUUGAUCUUUUUCUUUUUUUCUUUUUCUUCUCGGUUUGUUUUUUUUUUUUUUGCUUUGCUCCCUCCCUGAUGGAUUUUACUAUGCCUCCGUCAACGAGCCCUGGCUGGCAAAGUUGCUGUGUCCCAGCGGAGACUCUUAGGCGAGAUGGAGGAGUUCAGAUCCGCAGCCUGCCAGAAGAACGUCGCCCAGGAGGGGUUGCUAGCCUCGAGCUAUAGGCGCUGGCGUUCAGGACCUCGGGGAACGACUGUGUGCUGCCGUGAAGAACUACAGGCUACCACUGCUCUCGGACCUUUGAUGCUGUUCUGAGGGCCAGCAACUCGAAGGAAUGCAGCUCGGCCCUUUUUGUUGACUUUGGUGAUGCUGUUUUGAGGAAGCAUGUAAGUACAGAAGGGGUCUGGGAGGGUUUUCAAACAAGACGGGAAAGAGCAAGGAAGAUUUGAGAGCGUGGAAAAACUAGGUGCCGCGGGUACUGAAGUUGUUACGGGCUGAGGGCGUUUGGCGUUGAGCAUCUGAGAGGGGCUAAUGCACGAGGAAUGGUAAAAUGCUGUGACUGAACGCGAGGUUCCUCCCCGGCCUGGGCCCGUGUGUGCACCCUCGCUCCCACAGACACCCCGGAGCCGUAGGGAAACGGGUGAGCAGGCCCACGAGCGGACUUUGGGCACAGCGGUGCGCAGAGAGCGCUGCGGGCUCAGCCGGUGGGGUGGAGUCGGAGCAUGGCGAGCCAGGCUGUCAGGAUCCAUCCGGUUCCGCUCCCUGCCCCUCUGUCCAGCGCUCCAUCCUUCUCUUUCUUUCCCCGUGGCUCUGUCCAGUGCCCCAUCCCUUUGUUUAGCUACUCGUUCCUCUGCCCAGCUCCCCCAUCCCUCUUGUACUCUUUCCAUCUCUGUGACAAUAUCUGCGUCCAUCUAACUGGCUCUCUAUCACUCUAUCCAGCUCUUCAUCGUCCUCUUCCUCUUCCUAUCCCAGUACCUGCCCCGCUGUCCUUCCGUGCGGCUCCCCAUCCGUCUGCCGCUCUCGUCUGCCUUUCUGCCUGUACUUCUCUUUGCCUUCCCAGCCCUCUGUCCACCCCUCCAGCCAUCUCUCUCUAUUUCCAUCCCUCUGCUCAGCUCCUCAUCCAUCUAUUUGCCUCCCUAUCCCUCUUUUCCCCUGUUUUGUCCCAUCUCUCUGUCUGAAUUGCCCUCCCUCUUUUUCUCUCUCCACCUUUCUGGCCAGCUCUUCGUCGUUCUCGUCCUCUUCCCAUCGCUCCUACUGGCUCCCUGUCCCUCUCUUCCCGUCCCCGUUCCUCUCUCCGGUUCUCCCCCCUUCUCUGUUGCUCCCUCGCCGUUCCUCUGGCCGCCUCGCCUUCCCCAUUUUUCUCUCUUCUGCUCCCCGAUCCUCUGUGCAGCCCUCCCUCCAUCUGUGUGGCCCUCUGUCCCUCUCUUUCUCUUCCUUUGUCCAGUGCCCAGACCCUGGGGCCGGCUCUCUGUCCCUCUCUUUCUUUCUCCCUCCAUCCAUCUGCCAAGCUCUCUGCCCCUCUUUUCUUUUGUUCUCCCCCCUGUCCCCGCGUCCAGGUGGAGGUCUGUCGUUCCUUUGCGUUUUGUCUGGUGCGGCGGGUGGCGAGAGGUGGUCGGCGCUCGGCAGAGAUGGUGAUCGGCAGCGCCCGGAGGGUGUCGUUGGUCGGUCUGGUUCGGGUCACGUCGGACACCUCCGCGGGGACUCUGCCCGCGGAGGCGCGGGGCUGUGGCUGUGCAGCGGGGGAGCGCUAGCGGGCUAGAGAUGCUGUGGGGUACGCGGCAGGCAGCGAAGAGGCUCCUGGGGAAGGUGUCACGGAGGCAGAGAGCAGCAGAGGCUCCGAGACCUUGGGCGUUAGGACAGGCGCUCGCGGUAGGGCGGUCUGGAGCUGCUGCUGCUGUCUGUCCUACUCGUCAGCGCGGUCUGCAGUUACUGCCUCUUGUCUGCCUGCGCGCAGCCAGGGCUGUCACGUGGUGCAGCUUGAGUUGCGAUUGCGAUGCUGGCAUUGAGCCCACUUUUCUGUCAGGUCUGCCUUUAAUGCAAAGUGGUGUCUUCCCUAUGUCUACAGCUCAACCCAUGUUGUUGAUUUAGUGCUUCCUGAGGGGAUAUGCUGUGCUGUCAACACGCACACCCACCCCACCCCUGCCAUCGCUUCCUGAUGAAUGCAAUCAUUUACAUAGCUUCUGGCUUGUUUCUUUCCUUGGAACUCCUUUCUCUUUGCUGUUCUGGUCCCUCCAAACAAUUUCUGUUUCUAGCAUUAUUAGUGUUGGGCCCUAAACCUUCUAGACCUUCCUUCUUUGAAGUCCAGAGGUUCCAGUAUUGUUUGUACUUUGAGAGUAAAGGUCCUUCACAACUCAUGUCUUAAGUAUGCAACUGUCUUACCUGGGAUUUUCGUUUUCGCAAGUUACUGUUUCUUUCAGGAGCCAGCUACAACAGUAACUUUGCUAUAGCAGAGAAAUGGGGUUACAUGUGUAUGAGCAACAGCACCGUAGUACACAGCAAAGCCAUAAUCUACAGUACUGGUAGCACAAGUCAGUUUCCCAUCAGCUCCAUCUCUCCAGGGUUUGGAGGUUUUGGAGGCCUUACUUUUUAUCCUGCCUUGGCUGGACGGUGCUUUCUGAGAGUGUCCAUCAGAGGCAGAGUUUCCCUGCAGAGGACCAUCCAGCAAAGGCUGGAGGCGGCCGGGUGCCUGAGCGAGCCUGCCUGUCCGUGAGAGCUGCUGUGACAUCUUUGUGAUGAAAUGGAGCCAGAGAGGGUGACUGAAGCAGCACGGAGGGUCAGUCAUAACUGUGGGAACAAUCACGGGCCUUGGACUAGGGAGCAGUUCUAGGAGGGCUGUGCAGUUGCCCGGCCUCUCACUAACUGCUCUGGCCUCUUUGCAGGUGCCGAAGCCCAGUCGGGCAGUCGAAGGAGCCUUGUCACAGCUGGGAGCUCUGCGGAGAUGCGCGGCUGGCCAUGGAGAGUGAGCUCUGACUUGCAGCGUGGACACAGCUAAGUCCUGGGCUGCAUCAUAUGUGAGCAGUGCUGGGAGGUGCGAGGUGAUUGUUCUCUAGGUGGUCACUGGUGUCACUGGCUGUGGAUGUUUGCCCAUGGAGCUGAGAGGACCAAAAAUAUUAAUUGUCUGACCCGGAGAUGAAUUAGUGCUUGCAGUGCUUCAGG